AGAGUUUGAUCAUGGCUCAGGAUGAACGCUAGCGGCAGGCUUAAUACAUGCAAGUCGAGGGGCAGCAUAGGUAGCAAUACUUGAUGGCGACCGGCAAACGGGUGCGGAACACGUACAGAACCUUCCUUCGAGCGGGGAAUAGCCCGGAGAAAUCCGGAUUAAUACCCCAUAGUAAAUUAGAAAGGCAUCUUUUUAAUUUUAAAGAUUUAUCACUUGAAGAUGGCUGUGCGCCUGAUUAGGUAGUUGGCGGGGUAACGGCCCACCAAGCCUUCGAUCAGUAACUGGUGUGAGAGCACGACCAGUCACACGGGCACUGAGACACGGGCCCGACUCCUACGGGAGGCAGCAGUAAGGAAUAUUGGUCAAUGGACGCAAGUCUGAACCAGCCAUGCCGCGUGGAGGAUGAAGGUCCUCUGGAUUGUAAACUUCUUUUAUUUGGGAAGAAAUGCAUUUUUUCUAAAGUGCUUGACGGUACCAGAUGAAUAAGCACCGGCUAACUCCGUGCCAGCAGCCGCGGUAAUACGGAGGGUGCAAGCGUUAUCCGGAUUUACUGGGUUUAAAGGGUGCGUAGGCGGACAUGUAAGUCCGUGGUGAAAUCUCCGAGCUUAACUCGGAAACUGCCAUGGAUACUAUAUGUCUUGAAUGUUGUGGAGGUUAGCGGAAUAUGUCAUGUAGCGGUGAAAUGCAUAGAUAUGACAUAGAACACCAAUUGCGAAGGCAGCUGGCUACACAAAUAUUGACGCUGAGGCACGAAAGCGUGGGGAUCAAACAGGAUUAGAUACCCUAGUAGUCC
rnacentral:rRNA from 1 species